AAACAUAUGAUCAGAGAGAGCAAUGCACAAAGAAGAUAAAUUCUCAUCACAUCAUGUUUUAGUAACAGUUUCUUUUAUCAGGGAACAUACAGUUGGCUGAAAUUCAGUGUUUGCCACCAGCAAACCAACAUUAUGGUCUUUUUUAUUGUUCACUUUGGAGAGAUCGAGUUAUCAGUUAUCAGAGUGUGAAAAGUCACUAAAUCCAACGGAAAAGUUGCCAAGUUGGCAGCGGUGGAGGAGCACUUAGGGGAGACACUGAAUAUGAAAAGACAUAUUUCCACCUGAUGUGUGUGACCACUUAAAUACUCUUUUCAUAAUUUCAUAUCUUCUUAAGAUGUGGAGCAGUAGGCGGACUAUUUGUUCAGUAUCUGGACCGGCAGUGGACUCCUGCCAGACCAGAAGGAUGAGACCUUUUAGGAGGACCAGAGAUGAAGUUUCAUCCCAUAGCGAGACAUGAUGGAGCAACAUUUUCUCCCCAAGUAGCAGCACGACUGUGUCGUUAGCUGGCGGCUAACGGCUGCUUGUACUGUGAAUUAACACAAACAUGCACGAUCACUUCAUCUUGUAAAAUACACCAAAAAACACACACCUGAAUACUAGAAAUACAACGUGAUUGAUUUUAAACACAAAUGAAAGUCUCUCUAACUAUCUAAACGUCACUGCUGAGCGUCUGUGCAGGGUCGCAGCUGUGCUUCGUUAAGGCACAUCACGGAUGACCUUUCACCUGCUGCAGGUCAUCAUGUGACAUAACCUGAAUGACAGCAACCAGGUCAUUUUAUUUAUAGCUAAAGUAUUAUUAAUUGUUAAAUGUUACUCUUGAAAAACAAACAUUCAAUACGUCAUUUUGGACGUCAAGGUCAAGGGACAGUUGCUCGGACACCUUCAGCCCCCCCCCCCCCCCUCCUCCACCUGCAUGUGCCUAGAUGAGAAAAAAGGAGGGAAGGUGAAAGGGAGGCGAGGGGGGGGAAAUGAAGCCUCAGGAGAGGGGAGGGCAGGUGAUCAGACCGGCUUCCCACAGUUCUGCAGGAUCGUGAGAAAGGCGGCGAGGAUUGAGCCCAGCCGUCCAGAGCGUGGGCUAAUUGAUUUAAGCUGUUUCUACGGAAGGAUUUACCUUGCUGGUAAUUAGGAGGUGAUUUCUGACAGUGCAGCGGCUCACCGGCCCGAGAGCCCCUGCGGUCGGAUUUACACCGCAGGAUCAAAUCCAAAAAUCUCACUCUUGGUGUUUUUUUUGUUUGUUUUUUUUAAGCCAUGCGGUCAAAAUUUGUAAAUCUUGUGACAAAAAGGUUUUUGAUUGUUCUUACACAGUAGGAGAUUAAACGCUAAAAUCUCAAGCUGACAAUCUGUGAACUGACUGGCUUUGAAGUCAAAAUGAUGAUAUAUAAUACACUGCAACAAAUACAGUUAUUACAGAGAGCUUAAAGUUAUU